rnacentral:rRNA from 1 species
AACGAACGCUGGCGGCAGGCUUAACACAUGCAAGUCGAGCGCCCCGCAAGGGGAGCGGCGGACGGGUGAGUAACGCGUGGGAACGUACCUUUUGGUGCGGAACAACUCCGGGAAACUGGAACUAAUACCGGAUAAGCCCUAACGGGGAAAGAUUUAUCGCCGAACGAUCGGGCCGCGUCUGAUUAGCUAGUUGGUGGGGUAACGGCUCACCAAAGCGACGAUCAGUAGCUGGUCUGAGAGGAUGAGCAGCCACACUGGGACUGAGACACGGCCCAGACUCCUACGGGAGGCAGCAGUGGGGAAUAUUGGACAAUGGGCGCAAGCCUGAUACAGCCAUGCCGGGUGAGUGAUGAAGGCCUUAGGGUUCUAAAGCUCUUUUGUACGGGAAGAUAAUGACUGUACCGGAAGAAUAAGCCCCGGCUAACUUCGUG